rnacentral:tRNA from 2 species
GCGGAUGUGGUGGAAUUGGUAGACACGCUAGACUUAGGAUCUAGUGCCGCGAGGCGUGAAGGUUCGACUCCUUUCAUCCGCA